AACGGAGGUUGCAAGCGUUCUUGGGAAUUACUUGGCGUAAAGCGCGCGUAGGUGGCUUGAUAAGCCGGUUGUGAAAGCCCCGGGCUCAACCUGGGAACGGCAUCCGAAACUGUCAAGCUAGAGUGCAGGAGAGGAAGGUAGAAUUCCCGGUGUAGCGGUGAAAUGCGUAGAGAUCGGGAGGAAUACCAGUGGCGAAGGCGGCCUUCUGGACUGACACUGACACUGAGGUGCGAAAGCGUGGGUAGCAAACAGG
rnacentral:misc_RNA from 1 species